rnacentral:rRNA from 1 species
UACGUAGGGUGCGAGCGUUAAUCGGAAUUACUGGGCGUAAAGCGUGCGCAGGCGGUUUUGUAAGCCAGAUGUGAAAUCCCCCGGCUUAACCUGGGAACUGCGUCUGAUACUGGGAAGCUCGAGUAUGGGAGAGGGAUGUAGAAUUCCAGGUGUAGCGGUGAAAUGCGUAGAUAUCUGGAGGAAUACCGGUGGCGAAGGCGGCAUCCUGGACCAUUACUGACGCUGAGGCGCGAAAGCUAGGGGAGCAAACGGG